ACGCCGCCGGACGGUAACCGACCGGCCGGCCGUAGGUGGUGAGUCGUGUAUUAGUUGGGUACGUAACGGGUCCGUAGACCGGUUUGGUCAGUCCUCCGGGAAAUCUGAUAGCUCAACUAUUAGGCUUUCGGGGGAUACUGCCAGACUUGGAACCGGGAGAGGUAAGAGGUACUACAGGGGUAGGAGUGAAAUCUUGUAAUCCCUGUGGGACCACCUGUGGCGAAGGCGUCUUACCAGAACGGGUUCGACGGUGAGGGACGAAAGCUGGGGGCACGAACCGGAUUAGAUACCCGGGUAGUCCCAGCCGUAAACGAUGCUCGCUAGGUGUCAGGCAUGGCGCGACCGUGUCUGGUGCCGCAGGGAAGCCGUGAAGCGAGCCACCUGGGAAGUACGGCCGCAAGGCUGAAACUUAAAGGAAUUGGCGGGGGAGCACAACAACGGGUGGAGCCCUGCGGUUUAAUUGGACUCAACGCCGGACAACUCACCGGGGGCGACAGCAAUAUGUAGGCCAAGCUGAAGACUUUGCCUGAAUCGCUGAGGAGAGGUGCAUGG
rnacentral:rRNA from 1 species